rnacentral:rRNA from 1 species
GUUGAACGCUGGCGGCGUGCCUAAUACAUGCGAGUCGAGCGAACGGACGAGAAGCUUGCUUCUCUGAUGUUAGCGGCGGACGGGUGAGUAACACGUGGAUAACCUACCUAUAGGACUGGGAUAACUUCGGGAAACCGUAGCUAAUACCGGAUAAUAUUUUGAACCGCAUGGUUCAAAAGUGAAAGACGGUCUUGCUGUCACUUAUAGAUGGAUCCGCGCUGCAUUAGCUAGUUGGUAAGGUAACGGCUUACCAAGGCAACGAUGCAUAGCCGACCUGAUAGGGUGAUCGGCCACACUGGAACUGAGACACGGUCCAGACUCCUACGGGAGGCAGCAGUAGGGAAUCUUCCGCAAUGGGCGAAAGCCUGACGGAGCAACGCCGCGUGAGUGAUGAAGGUCUUCGGAUCGUAAAACUCUGUUAUUAGGGAAGAACAUAUGUGUAAGUAACUGUGCACAUCUUGACGGUACCUAAUCAGAAAGCCACGGCUAACUACGUG